rnacentral:rRNA from 1 species
GUGGGGAAUUUUGGACAAUGGGCGCAAGCCUGAUCCAGCCAUGCCGCGUGCAGGAUGAAGGCCUUCGGGUUGUAAACUGCUUUUGUACGGAACGAAAAGGUGCCUUCUAAUAAAGGGCGCUCAUGACGGUACCGUAAGAAUAAGCACCGGCUAACUACGUGCCAGCAGCCGCGGUAAUACGUAGGGUGCGAGCGUUAAUCGGAAUUACUGGGCGUAAAGCGUGCGCAGGCGGUUUUGUAAGACAGAGGUGAAAUCCCCGGGCUCAACCUGGGAACUGCCUUUGUGACUGCAAAGCUGGAGUGCGGCAGAGGGGGAUGGAAUUCCGCGUGUAGCAGUGAAAUGCGUAGAUAUGCGGAGGAACACCGAUGGCGAAGGCAAUCCCCUGGGCCUGCACUGACGCUCAUGCACGAAAGCGUGGGGAGCAAACA